UACGAAGGGUGCUAGCGUUGUUCGGAAUGACUGGGCGUAAAGGGAGCGUAGGCGGUCCUAUAAGUCAAAUGUGAAAUUCCUGGGCUCAACCUGGGGACUGCAUGUGAUACUGUAGGACUAGAGAUCACGAGGGGAAAACGGAAUUGUGCGUGUAGAGGUGAAAUUCGUAGAGAUGCACAAGAACACCGGUGGCGAAGGCGGUUUUCUGGAGUGAUACUGACGCUAAGGCUCGAAAGCGUGGGGAGCAAACAGG
rnacentral:rRNA from 1 species